rnacentral:misc_RNA from 1 species
GCGAGUAUGGCCCUCACGGGUCUGAAUCCACCACUAAACACCUUUGUGAACCAGUCAGGGGGGACUCGGCCGUGAAAGCCCAGGCGAUUAGCGGAAGGGCCCUCCUUUGCAAACCCGUUUAGAAGUCUUGGAAAGUACUUUUGUAUAAUCUAGUA